rnacentral:rRNA from 1 species
CCUACGGGGGGCUGCAGUGGGGAAUAUUGGACAAUGGGCGCAAGCCUGAUCCAGCAAUGCCGCGUGUGUGAAGAAGGCCUUCGGGUUGUAAAGCACUUUAAGCAGGGAAGAAAAAACUCGGUCUAAUACAUCGAGUCUUGACGGUACCUGAAGAAUAAGCACCGGCUAACUCUGUGCCAGCAGCCGCGGUAAUACAGAGGGUGCUAGCGUUAGUCGGAUUUACUGGGCGGAAUGCUCAAGUAGGUGGUUAAAUCCCUGGGCUUAACCUGGGAACUGCUUCUGAGACUGAAUGACUAGAGUACGGUAGAGGGUGGUGGAAUUUCCGGUGUAGCGGUGAAAUGCGUAGAUAUCGGAAGGAACAUCAAUGGCGAAGGCAGCCACCUGGGCCUGUACUGACACUGAGACACGAAAGCGUGGGGAUCAAACAGGAUUAGAUACCCUAGUAGUC